CUGAGCCGAAGGUGCAUGUGUAACUAACUGAGCCACCCAGGCGCCCCGGAGAGUGACAUUUUUAUCAUAUCACAUCAAGGGUAGAUCCUAUGAACAUGACUUAUCACUGUGGGUGUUGACCUUGACCACCUGGCUCAGGUAGUUUUUGUCAGUUUUCUCCACUGUGAAGUCACUCUCUUUUCCCCUUUCCAUAGUAUCCUCUUUGGAAGGCAGUCAUUCUGCGUGGCCCCCACCCAUGGAGUAGGGACUAUACUUCGCAGCAGGGAUGAUUGAGAGUCCUUCCGUACAGCACGUUUGUCUUCUCCCCUACUUCCUGGUGACGUCACUAUCCAUCCGCUCGUGCCACAGAUGCCUGCUGUGUGCCAGACGCAUGUAAGACCUCGGCUGCUGCCUUCCUGGUCUAGCUGAGGAGGCAUUUUAUCCAUGCUUGCACUUGUCCGUUCACUACCGAAUACCCGCUGUGUGCCAGGAGUUGUUCGGAACACUGAGGAUCCAGCAGUGAACAAAACGGACAAAAAUCCCUGCCAUCACGGGGCUGACAAUCUAGUGGUGCCUGUUAGACAAUAGACCAACAUAGUGUCGCGUA